AGAGAUGCAGCUCAAUGACAGAGAACCUGCCUAGCAUGCACAAGGCCCUGGGUUCGAUCCCCAGCAUCCCCA
rnacentral:tRNA from 1 species